ensembl:lncRNA
GUAUUGUGGGGUACAGUGGCAUUGUGGGGUACAGUGGCAUUGUGGGGUACAGUGGCGUUGUGUAGUGUCGUAGUGGGGUACAGUGUCGUUGUGGGGUAUUGUGUCGUUGUGGGGUAUUGUGUCGUAGUGGGGUUGUGGGGUAUAGUGUCGUUGUGUGGUGUCGUUGUGGGGUACAGUGUCGUUGUGUGGUAUAGUGUCGUUGUGGGGUAUGGUGGCGUUGUGGGGUAUAGUGGCGUUGUGGGGUAUAGUGGGGUAUAGUGGCGUUGUGGGGUACAGUGUCGUUGUGGGGUACAGUGUCGUUGUGGGGUACAGUGUCGUUGUGGGGUAUUGUGUCGUUGUGGGGUAUAGUGGGGUAUAGUGUCGUUGUGGGGUAUAGUGUCGUUGUGGGGUAUUGUGUCGUUGUGGGGUAUAGUGGGGUAUAGUGUCGUUGUGUGGGGUAUAGUGUCGUUGUGGGGUACAGUGUCGUUGUGGGGUACAGUGGCGUUGUG